rnacentral:rRNA from 1 species
AGCUAAAACUAGCCCACCCAAAUACCAAUUCAACUACCACAACCAAUCUUCAACCAAAACAUUUAAUUACAUAAUUACAGUAUAGGAGAUAGAAAUUUUACUUGGAGCUAUAGAGAGAGUACCGUAAGGGAACGAUGAAAGAAAAUUCAAAGCAAUAAACAGCAAAGAUAACCCCUUAUACCUUUUGCAUAAUGAGCUAGCUAGAACAAUUUAGCAAAGAGACCUUAAGCUAAAAACCCCGAAACCAGACGAGCUACCUACGAACAAUCCACAGGGAUGCACUCAUCUAUGUCGCAAAAUAGUGAGAAGAUUCAUAGGUAGAGGUGAAAAGCCAAACGAGCCUGGUGAUAGCUGGUUGCCCAGAAUAGAAUUUCAGUUCAACUUUAAAUUUACCUAUAAGCCCCAAAACUACAAUGUAAAUUUAAAAUAUAGUCUAAAAAGGUACAGCUUUUUAGAAUAAGGAUACAACCUUACUUAGAGAGUAAAACAAUACAAAACCAUAGUAGGCCUAAAAGCAGCCACCAAUUAAGAAAGCGUUCAAGCUCAACAGCUCAACCCCCUUAAUACCAAAAAUAUUUACCCAACUCCUAAUAUAAUACUGGGCCAAUCUAUUCAAUAAUAGAAGCAAUAAUGCUAGUAUGAGUAACAAGAAAUACUUCUCCUUUGCAUAAGCUUAUAACAGUCAACGAAUACCCACUGAUUAGUUAACAACAAGAUAAAAACAAACUACCAAUAAAACAUUUAUCAAACUAACUGUUAGCCCAACACAGGUAUGCAACAAGGAAAGAUUAAAAGAAGUAAAAGGAACUCGGCAAACACAAACCCCGCCUGUUUACCAAAAACAUCACCUCCAGCAUAACCAAUAUUGGAGGCACUGCCUGCCCAGUGACAUUAGUUAAACGGCCGCGGUAUCCUGACCGUGCAAAGGUAGCAUAAUCAUUUGUUCUCUAAAUAAGGACUUGUAUGAAUGGCCACACGAGGGUUUAACUGUCUCUUACUUCCAAUCAGUGAAAUUGACCUCCCCGUGAAGAGGCGGGGAUAGACUAAUAAGACGAGAAGACCCUAUGGAGCUUUAAUUAACUAACUCAUAAUAAACCCAUCUAACACCAACAGGAUAUAACACAACUUUAUUAAUGAGUUCAGCAAUUUAGGUUGGGGUGACCUCGGAGAACAAAAAAACCUCCGAGUGAUAAAACAUAGACUAACCCGUCAAAGUAACUUAUCAUUUAUUGAUCCAAUAACUUGAUCAACGGAACAAGUUACCCUAGGGAUAACAGCGCAAUCCUAUUCAAGAGUUCAUAUCAACAAUAGGGUUUACGACCUCGAUGUUGGAUCAGGACAUCCUAAUGGUGCAGCCGCUAUUAAGGGUUCGUUUGUUCAACGAUUAAAGUCCUACGUGAUCUGAGUUCAGACCGGAGUAAUCCAGGUCGGUUUCUAUCUAUUAUAUCAACUUCUCCCAGUACGAAAGGACAAGAGAAAUGAGGCCUAUUCCACUAGAACGCCCCAAGACUAAUAGAUGAUAAAAUCUCAAUCUAGCCAGUCUACUACCACUUCACAGCCCUAGAGAUAGGGCCUU